rnacentral:SRP_RNA from 1 species
GCUGGGCAUGGUGGCUCAUAUCUGUAAUCCCAGCACUUUGGGAAGCUGAGGUGGGAGGAUCACUUGAGCCCAGGAGUUCGAGACCAGCCUGGGCAACAUAGUGAGACCCCAUCUCUA